AAUUCUUAUACGUUAAGGCCUUUCUAUCUUUUUGGAGUGGUUAUGGAUCCUUUUCAAUGGGAAGAGAUCUUUUAAAAAGUUUCUUCCGAAAUGGUUAUGUAUACUGCUAUUCUGUAUUUCUUAUUUCAUGUUCUUUUAUAUCCUAAAUUAUUAUCUUAAUUUUUUUUCCUUGCAGUUUUUCUAUUGGUCAUUGUAGUCGUGACCUCAUCUUAAACAAAAGGCUAAAGAUGGUGAUUCGGAUGUUACUAAGACAUACAUCUUCUCAAAUGGUCAUGAAGCUGCUCCUCGAAAAGUAAUGUCUUCAACACUUGCUCACUUUACCCGUACUCAUGAACUUCUGCAAUUAGUAUAUAUCUUUUAUUUUUCUAUUGUGUUUUUUUAUAUGUAUUUGGGACCUUUUCCAACUAUAAAUGCUAAAAAUUAUAUUAAAUGUUAUUUCUCUUUCCUAUUUUUGUUUCAUGUUUACAUUGAUUAUAGUUGAAAAUAUAGUGCUUUUGAUCUUCGUUUGAAGCUUUUUCUGUUAGUUUAUGGAGUUUCUUUGUCCCUUCAAUUCUUUGGUUUAUAAUUGUUCGUAUUUAUUGACUUUAAGUUUGUUGGUUUUCGCAAGUUGGUUGGUGUAUGAAUUUACUAGAUUUGGAUUGUUUUGUUUUUUACAGAUAUUAUUAAAGUUGUUUCUCACGUGAAUUUUUCUAAGUCUAUUAUGACAAAUGGUAAUUGUAAUUGCAUGAGUCACUAGAGUAACUUGCUUCUUCUUUCUCCUCCUUUUUGAUUUCUCUCCUCUUAUUUCUUCCUUUGAUCUUCAAGUAGUAUAGUUUCUGUCUGUAAAAAAUAUAAUUCUGAAUGAUACAUAAUUUAUAAGAAAAAACCAUUGAAUGUUUCCUUGCUGUGAAUUUGGUCAAAUGUUUUUGUAAUUUGGAAAGGAAAAAAAAUUCUCUCUUUUGUUAUAAAUGCAAGUGGAAAAUAAUGUAUGAAGAAUUUAACUAUGUUUGUCAUGCACUUUUCGACCAAUUAUACUCCUUUAAUAGUCCAUUGAUAAUAUAAUUUUGAUUUUUGUGAAAAAUGUGAUCUAUAUUUUUGUAAUGAAAUAAUAACUACGGGGUGAAAAAAGAAGUAAGGAAUAAAAUUGAAAGAAGAGGGAAAAAGGAAAAGAAGAAUCAUUUGGGAAAGAAAAACAGACUCAUCCAGGGAAGUGCAUUGGUCUUCUCAGGUUCCUUCAGAUCUAGCAUUUUACUUUUCUUGAUGACAAUAGUAGCCAUUUGAAAUUAUUAGUAGAGUUUUCAAGAAAUUAUCAUUGAUACUCAUGGAAACUUAGGAUCUUUUAUUAGUAGAGUUUUCAAGAAAUUAUCAUUGAUACUCAUGGAAACUUAGGAUCUUUCUCCCAUAUUGAGUUUAGUUGUUGACUAUGAAAUUUUUGUAUAUGAUAUAUGCAUGGAAUUUAAUUAAAUUUUGUGAAUACUUUCAUAUUGUCCAUUUAGUUCUUCAAUUGAUUUUUGAAUAAUGAGUUUUUUUCCAUGAAUAACAUGUGUAUGAACUAAUGCUAAUUCCUGGAGUUUUAUUGAUUUCUUAACCCAAAAAGAAAUUAUGUUUUCUUUUUAUCAAUUCCUAUGUUGUCGACUCAUUGUCAUUUUAUUUUCCUUUUUAAUUGUUUUUUAGUAGCGAAAAAACAUACUUAGUCCUAAUUAAACAAAAAUUUAUCUCUAUCAAGACAUGAUUUAUAAGGUCAUUCUAAAUUCCCUAUUAUAUCGUGCGAAGCACGAACACAUUCACUAGUUAUUUUCUAAUUACAUGGUGCUUCUCAAGAGUUAAAAGCCCUCACUAUAUUAGUCUCCAAGACCUGCAAAAUAUUUCUACAAGUGUUAAAAGAAUGAAUAUUAACCACAAAUUGUAUGCCACCAAGUUCCAGAUGAUCCCUAGCAAGUCAUAAACAUGGAAGAUAUGAAUUAUACAGUGAGUGAGCUGUGCGCUCAUCAACCUGUCAGAUAGAGAUGCUGUUGGGAAUACCACGACAGGUAACACCCGGACCAGAAGUAGGUAGCAGCAGUUCAUAUGGAGGAAUGCCAGCACCACUUCGGUUUUUAAGACGAUUAUCCUUGUUUCUUUGGUUGAUGGUGUGUUCUACCUCCUCUAAUUUGGCACAGAAUCUUUCAGAAAUCCUCAAAACUUCAUGAUCAUUUACGGAGAAUCUUUGAAGUUCGUGCACCUGAUGCAAGUAUUCCUCGUCUGCUGAAUGAGUCGAUAAGGUAUCUUGAACGGCCAUCACUUUAGUAGCUUGGAGUUGAGUAGGCAAAGAUGCCAGAAAAGUGAACUCAGGGUGAAGAAUAAAGUUCUCAUAGCUGGGAUCAUCUUCACGUGGGAUGAGCUUUCGCAUAAGGGUAGGACGGUUAGGUACAUAACCUCCAAAAGGGUACUGCCCAAAGUUUAUUGCUGCAUGUUGGCCUGAGGCAAUCCAAAUCAUUAUGGUGAGUAUGCCAGACAAGUCUUCUUUAGUAACAAGCUUUGGCCACCAAGGCUCAUCUUUCUUGUCAGGGUGUCCCUUGCUCUUGAUCUCAUUCCACCACCCUUGGAGCUCAACAUCUGAAGUGACAGAAUUAGGCUCGGAAUAGUAGUGCUCAACAUACGACUCCACAUAUUCUUUUAUGGCAGACCAUAUGAGAAGGCCGUCUGCUGCAUAAGGGUAGUCUUCAAUCACAAGUUUCACCCCCAAAGGCAUUGAUGGAUCCUCCACGGCCAUUCCCCUUAAAAGCAGUCAACAUUGUGUUUAUUAGUUGAGAAGUUGCAAUAAUCAGAUGAAACAGUAGUUCAAGGUUUUAAGAGAUGUCUUGCUUUAGGAAAUUUACCUUCUUAUUAAAUCUGAAGGCAGAGCUUCCAUAUCAAACCGCCACAUGCUCUUGUAAGCUGCAGAGCUUAUUUCCAUUGAAUAUCUUCCGGGGCUAAAACAUGCUUCAAUAACUCCACCCCCGUUUAUCAAACUCUGCCUCGCAAGCGCAUUGAUUUCCAGUGUGUAGCGCAUANNNNNNNNNNNNNNNNNNNNNNNNNNNNNNNNNNNNNNNNNNNNNNNNNNNNNNNNNNNNNNNNNNNNNNNNNNNNNNNNNNNNNNNNNNNNNNNNNNNNNNNNNNNNNNNNNNNNNNNNNNNNNNNNNNNNNNNNNNNNNNNNNNNNNNNNNNNNNNNNNNNNNNNNNNNNNNNNNNNNNNNNNNNNNNNNNNNNNNNNNNNNNNNNNNNNNNNNNNNNNNNNNNNNNNNNNNNNUCCAUACAAGCAUGAGUCCUUAACCUGAGAAUUCAAUUUACAUGCACAGUGAGAUCCCCGACUAAUAGGGUCAAAGCUAGAGAAAAACUUUCUGCUAUGUCUUUCCAAUCGUCCAGUUUCAGUUUCAAAUCUAUUUCAACACAUGGUCAAUGUCGAUGUGCCCAAAGGAGAAGAUUAUUAGAUAUUAUGAAAGCACAAUGAGAACUAACAUUGGAAGAAAGCUACGUAAAUAUGUUUACAAAAAAAAAAAAAAAUAGGGAAGGGCUCUAAGCUUACCAGUGGUUCACCAACUGAUGAAUGCCAGCAUCAUUUGAACAAACAUGUGCUUUGGCUAGAUUCCAGAUCCAGUGACUGGUUGAAUCAUGUCCAUGGGUGAAUAUACGCUUGUUCCUAGGUGAAGAAGGUGUUGGAGGCAGUGAAAGUUCAACGAUAAUCGGCUUUAGAACACCUCUGGAUGUGUGGAAGAGAAGUGUUCUUGAUGCAUAAGCUUUCCUCCCUGGCAAGUUGUUCAUCUUCCCGAUAAAUGGCAAAAGCAUGUCAUGAUAAUCAAGUAUAAACAAUCUCUUGUCUUCAAUUGCCUGAGCAGAAAAUUUUGAGAUGAAAUUAGAGCUGGUUUAAACAUGAAAAGAGCCACCACAAAUGAUCACUGUGUUUGAGAAACUACUACCAGGUGCAUAGCCAGUCUGGUGAAUUCAGUUUCCUAGUUAGAGCAAAGUAGCAACAAAGUACACUGGAAAAUUAUUACCUCUUCAACAGUCAGUCCAUUAAGCUCUUGUUCUAUAAGAUCCCUGGUAAUAGCUGAAUCAGGGGGGCCAUAAACAGCUGGAUCUAGUUUGCUAACAAUUGGAAAUUCCUGUUGAAUACCGCAAGCUUACUUACUGAAUAUCUAAAGAAAGCUUACAAUUUAUUUAGUACCAAAAUAUUAACAAAAAUUACCCUCAAAAGUUCAAUAUUCACAGGGUUAACCCCUGCUAAAGCUUGUCGCGCAAACUCAUUAUCUCGCAACCAAGCAAAUCUAUCCCCUGUGUCACAAAAAUCAGAAAGAUGCAGAGUUUAUGAAAUAUCACUCCAGAAACUACAGUCGGAAAGAAAUUAGAGAUAGCAGGUUUCUGAUGGCAUAUAUUGUCAAUCUUGUGAAUAAAACAGGAUUCUUCAGUCUUAAUAAUGCUAAAUGAUACAGCUAAAAACAUAUACUGAUGAAAAAGUAAUUUAAUAUGUGUGCUUACGUUUGAUUAUAGCAGGAAUCUCAUAUUUGAGCAACCUUUUGCUGACAGAAAAUACUUUAUCCAAAGUAUCAGAAAGAAAUUUAUUCUUCUGUGAAUGUUCAUCAUCGUUCAAUUCAAACCCAUCGUUAUAGAGUUUAUCUAUGUCGGAGAAGUUUGUGAAGGGAAUGUCUGAGCUUGACAGUGUGGCAGCAAUUAGUGGUACCAGGUUAUGUAACAGAGCUUUCAACCUUCCAGCAGAAAAAGUAUUUUGCUUAAUUUCUUCAAAAGUUUCGUCUCUAGGGACAUAAACUGGAUGAGGUUUCUCUAUUCGACUCUCUGCUAGUGGAUCUGUCAGCAUCCAAAGAUCAAGAAAAAAGGUAUGUCACAGAAUUGAGGCACGAAAAUUUUUCUCCUCAACAGAUUUCUCAGUACCUGUUUUAGUUGGACUUCUACCAGUCCGACAACGCCUAGGAUAAGGUCUCUCUUUGCCACCUAUCAGUGGCCUAGCAAGAUCCUCACUUUUGUCGGGAUUUCCUAAAUCAUUAUAAACAUCAUAAUCAUAGAUUCGUUCAUGUAGCUUCCUCUCGCCUUUCCCAGUUCCACGAAUGAUCAACAAGUCUUCACGUCGAAGAUCCUUGAUGCCAGGUGGUGUUUCAGAUGGUAGAUAUGCCUGCUAAUGCAGGAGCAUCCUUGAUCAAGCACCAAUAUCUGCUUUACAAAAUGAAAAGUAAAAAUCAUUUAAAAGUAUCGCUUACCUGAUUUUGGAAGAUAAUUCUACUCUCUGGAUUAUCUUUUCGAGAAUGAAUCCAUGUAUUAGCACUAAAGAAUAUAGGGCCUUCAUUAAAGUUAUGAACAACAAUCUGCACUAAGUGUAUCUCUUUGUCAAGGAAAUUGGUAAUAAUGAUAGCUCCAGGACGUCCAAAAUCGCGUGGUACUCUGAAAUUGGCAGCAUAUUCAACUAUAUAUGGAUGGUCAGAAGGCUUGGACAACCAACCUCGCACAUAAGAUUCCGCAAUCUUUCCCGACUUGGUAACUGUGAGCAGAAAACAGUGUUAGUACUCCAUUAACCUUAGAAUACUACUCAUGUAAAAGUGUCAAGUGGAAUGGAAUUGAUGCCCUAUAGUCCAUUCCAUCAGUCACAAUAAAUGGAUUCAUUAUGCACUAAGUGCUGUGUUGCCAGUUAAAGUUUUCACUACAGGAAACAAGACAAAUGAACUAAAAGGCAUCCAGAAAAGCUAAACAAUAAAAAGUAUAAGGAAAAAGGCGCAAAAAGAAUGAACGACAAUAUAUUCCAUCUCAUGCACCAGGUGUUUACACCAACCCAUAUUAACUUAUCAUGGUUAAGUGACUGAACAGGUCAGUGUGUAUAUUAAUUAACCAUAGUGCGGUAAGUGCGGGUAAUUUGUUUCCUUCAUGUUGCUCCCCCAUCCGCUUUAUGUUAUUCCAUGGUGGUUGACAAAGAUAGAGAGUUACAUGCGUACCUCCGUACAUUCUACUAUAUACAUGAUAUACAACAUCGUAUACAUAUAUUUUCUGUAGUCUAGCAACUUGGUCAGUGAGAUGUUGUUAUUGCCUGGCCACUUGGUCAGUGAGAGAUACUAUUGCCUGACCUUAUGGUUAGUGAGAGUUUAUAUUUGCUUGGCCUUACAGUCAGUGAGAGUUUACUGUUGCCUGUCCACUUGGUCGGCGAGAGAUACUAUUGCCUGGACUUAUAGUUAUUGAGAGUUUAUAUUUUCCUGGCCUUUUGGUUAGUGAGAGUUUAUUAUUAUGGCAAACAAAUCAUAAGCAUCUAUUAGUCAUGUGCAAACAUCUAAGUGCGGGUAAUUUGUUUCCUUCAUGUUGCUCCCCCGGCCCCCCCAAAGAAGCAAAAUAAUUUUUUGAGAAGAUUGAAGGUUUUCUCUUAGUUCUUUUUCUUUGUACUCCUAGUUUGGAGUGCAAGAUAGGGGGGAGGGGGGUUGCUAUAGUACUUGCUUUAGUCAAUGAACCAAACCAAACCAUACCUAUUACCAGCAGUCUAGACAGUUGGAAAUAAAGUUGAGAAAUUAGAUCAAAAGAAAAAGAUAAAAUAGAACUCAACUCAUACAAUAAUAAAGUCAAAGAAUCAGAAACCAAAGACACUACCAACGCAACAAGUAAAGUUUAUGCAGAGAGAUUUGUAUAUCCAAGAAAAAUUACAAACCAGGAUCAAUGUCUUCACUAAUGAGCUGAAUCAAGAUUCCCCUUCCAAUCCCAUUCAUAAAAGACUCCCACUGAUCUUCAAUCUUGUCUGUGAUUUUCUCCUUCAUUUUCUUCCUCAAAGUGAUCACUGCUCUCACAUCAAGAUUCCCACUUUUGCCAGAAGAAACCAAUUUCUCCACCAAGUUUGUAGUCUUUUUGUUAUUCCCACUUUGGAUCACAGCUUUAACUUGUGAUGUACUUCUUUUUGACAUCAAUUUCCUCCGGCCGCCGGUGAUGAUCUCCGGUGCCCGGACCUUAAGGACAUGUUGGAUUUCUGAGCUGAGUGCAGUGGAUCUUGAUUGAGCUGUAAGCAUCAUUGGAAUUAUUGACACCCCCACCUAUGUUGAAAAUUCAAGACUAUGAGAUGAUCAAAUGAAUUAUAAUUGUGUAGAUAUUAUGUAUAGAGGGUGUGACACAUUUGAGAUAUAUUUUUCCAACAAACUUGUUAGUACUACAUACAGUUUUAUUGAGUCAUUUAAGUAGCAGUCGUAUGUGAUGUGUCAUAAGAUAUAUUUUUGAAUAUUCAAUGACUCAACUGGAUCAUCAUCCACUAUUUUUAAGUCCUUUUCCGUCGAGUCGAGGUGUAUCCGAAAUAGUCUCUUUACCUCCUUGAGGUAAGGGUAAGAUAUGUAUAUAUUUUACCUUCCUCAUAUUUCACUUGUGACAUUUUACUGGAUUGUUGUUGUUAUUGUUGUUGUACUGUUACAACAAAGAUAACUAACACCUUUAGAGGAAUGGGCUUUCAUGAUCAUUUACAAUAUUGAAAUUAAGAAAAUGUUCUCUUGUGUGCAAAAGUAAAUGUCUUAUGUGUAAAAAAAAAAAAAAUAGGAUCAAAAAACUAAAAACAAAUUUGUAAAGACUCACGAACAACAAUUUAUUUCUAAGCAAGUUAAAAUUGGGUUCAUGUUACUUUAUUAAGCAAAAAGUAAAUGAUAUAACUUCUAAUUUUAAUCAAGUAGGUUAAAGUCAGCAUAACCGGCUUCAAAUUCGAAUAUACAAGACUUGUGUUAAUUUUAUAUAUUCCACUCAUACCAAAUUUAAAAUUAAGGUAUUUGAUAAAAUGCAGGAGCGGGGGUAGGUGGAGACAUCAUAUCAAUUUGAAUGGACCAUGUCACUAAUUGUGGCUAUGGAUUUUCUUUUCUGUACAUCUUGUUAAAACUGUGGCUAUAGAUGCAAAUAAAAAUAAUGAAGCAUUGUGCAGCUGAAUGUCAUUUAUGUCCAAUUCCUUUAAAUGUGGCAAUUAUUUCCAUUGAUACUGUGGCAAGCUUAUUGGGGCAUGUGAAGUGGAAGAUGCAUGUGGUGGACCUGCUUAGAUUUUGGGUAUCAUUUUAAUUACAGAUUUGUUUUUUGCUAAGAUUAAUUACGGAUGUUUCUAUUGGUGAACCCUCCACUUCCAACCAAGAGGUUGUGAGUUCGAGUCACCCAAGAGCAAGGUGGAGAGUUUUUGAAGAGAUGGAGUCGAGGGUCUAUCGAAAACAGUCUCUUUACCCCAAGAUAGAGAUAAAAUCUGUGUACACACUACCUUCCCCAAACUCCAUUAUACUAAGUUGUAAUUACAUAUGCUUCUAGUCUUUAAUGUUAAACCAGCC
rnacentral:lncRNA from 1 species